UGGGGAAUUUUCCGCAAUGGGCGCAAGCCUGACGGAGCAAGACCGCGUGGGGGAGGAAAGCCUUUGGGUUGUAAACCCCUUUUCUCAGGGAAGAAGCAAGUGACGGUACCUGAGGAAUCAGCCUCGGCUAACUCCGUGCCAGCAGCCGCGGUAAUACGGAGGAGGCAAGCGUUAUCCGGAAUGAUUGGGCGUAAAGCGUUCGUAGGUGGCAACUCAAGUCUGCUGUCAAAGACCGGAGCUCAACUCCGGAAAGGCAGUGGAAACUGAGUAGCUGGAGUGCGGUAGGGGCAGAGGGAAUUCCCGGUGUAGCGGUGAAAUGCGUAGAGAUCGGGAAGAACACCGGUGGCGAAAGCGCUCUGCUGGGCCGCAACUGACACUGAGGGACGAAAGCUAGGGGAGCGAAUGGGAUUAGAUACCCCCGUAGUCC
rnacentral:rRNA from 1 species